rnacentral:misc_RNA from 1 species
CUCGUCAGGAAGGCAGGAGACAGGAGACGGGACCUCUACAGGGAGACGGUGGGCCGGCCCUUGGGGGGGCUGAUGUGGCCCCAAGGCUGAGUCCCGUCAGGGUCUGGCCUCGGCCUCAGGCCCCCAAGGAGCCGGCCCUACACCCCAUGGGUUUGUCACUGCCCAAGGAGAAAGGGCUAAUUCUCUGCCUAUGGAGCAAGUUCUGCAGAUGGUUCCAGGACUCCCUGGGAAACACAGUGUUACACAUCCUCAUCCUCCAGCCCAACAAAACCUUUGCCUGCCAGAUGUACAACCUGUUGCUGUCCUACGACAGACAUGGGGACCACCUGCAGCCCCUGGACCUCGUGCCCAAUCACCAGGGUCUCACCCCUUUCAAGCUGGCUGGAGUGGAGGGUAACACUGUGAUGUUUCAGCACCUGAUGCAGAAGCGGAAGCACACCCAGUGGACGUAUGGACCACUGACCUCGACUCUCUAUGACCUCACAGAGAUCGACUCCUCAGGGGAUGAGCAGUCCCUGCUGGAACUUAUCAUCACCACCAAGAAGCGGGAGGCUCGCCAGAUCCUGGACCAGACGCCGGUGAAGGAGCUGGUGAGCCUCAAGUGGAAGCGGUACGGGCGGCCGUACUUCUGCAUGCUGGGUGCCAUAUAUCUGCUGUACAUCAUCUGCUUCACCAUGUGCUGCAUCUACCGCCCCCUCAAGCCCAGGACCAAUAACCGCACAAGCCCCCGGGACAACACCCUCUUACAGCAGAAGCUACUUCAGGAAGCCUACGUGACCCCUAAGGACGAUAUCCGGCUGGUCGGGGAGCUGGUGACUGUCAUUGGGGCUAUCAUCAUCCUGCUGGUAGAGGUUCCAGACAUCUUCAGAAUGGGGGUCACUCGCUUCUUUGGACAGACCAUCCUUGGGGGCCCAUUCCAUGUCCUCAUCAUCACCUAUGCCUUCAUGGUGCUGGUGACCAUGGUGAUGCGGCUCAUCAGUGCCAGCGGGGAGGUGGUACCCAUGUCCUUUGCACUCGUGCUGGGCUGGUGCAACGUCAUGUACUUCGCCCGAGGAUUCCAGAUGCUAGGCCCCUUCACCAUCAUGAUUCAGAAGAUGAUUUUUGGCGACCUGAUGCGAUUCUGCUGGCUGAUGGCUGUGGUCAUCCUGGGCUUUGCUUCAGCCUUCUAUAUCAUCUUCCAGACAGAGGACCCCGAGGAGCUAGGCCACUUCUACGACUACCCCAUGGCCCUGUUCAGCACCUUCGAGCUGUUCCUUACCAUCAUCGAUGGCCCAGCCAACUACAACGUGGACCUGCCCUUCAUGUACAGCAUCACCUAUGCUGCCUUUGCCAUCAUCGCCACACUGCUCAUGCUCAACCUCCUCAUUGCCAUGAUGGGCGACACUCACUGGCGAGUGGCCCAUGAGCGGGAUGAGCUGUGGAGGGCCCAGGUUGUGGCCACCACGGUGAUGCUGGAGCGGAAGCUGCCUCGCUGCCUGUGGCCUCGCUCCGGGAUCUGCGGACGGGAGUAUGGCCUGGGGGACCGCUGGUUCCUGCGGGUGGAAGACAGGCAAGAUCUCAACCGGCAGCGGAUCCAACGCUACGCACAGGCCUUCCACACCCGGGGCUCUGAGGAUUUGGACAAAGACUCAGUGGAAAAACUAGAGCUGGGCUGUCCCUUCAGCCCCCACCUGUCCCUUCCUACGCCCUCAGUGUCUCGAAGUACCUCCCGCAGCAGUGCCAAUUGGGAAAGGCUUCGGCAAGGGACCCUGAGGAGAGACCUGCGUGGGAUAAUCAACAGGGGUCUGGAGGACGGGGAGAGCUGGGAAUAUCAGAUCUGACUGCGUGUUCUCACUUCGCUUCCUGGAACUUGCUCUCAUUUUCCUGGGUGCAUCAAACAAAACAAAAACCAAACACCCAGAGGUCUCAUCUCCCAGCCCCAGGGGAGAAAGAGGAGUAGCAUGAACGCCAAGGAAUGUACGUUGAGAAUCACUGCUCCAGGCCUGCAUUACUCCUUCAGCUCUGGGGCAGAGGAAGCCCAGCCCAAGCACGGGGCUGGCAGGGCGUGAGGAACUCUCCUGUGGCCUGCUCAUCACCCUUCCGACAGGAGCACUGCAUGUCAGAGCACUUUAAAAACAGGCCAGCCUGCUUGGGCGCUCGGUCUCCACCCCAGGGUCAUAAGUGGGGAGAGAGCCCUUCCCAGGGCACCCAGGCAGGUGCAGGGAAGUGCAGAGCUUGUGGAAAGCGUGUGAGUGAGGGAGACAGGAACGGCUCUGGGGGUGGGAAGUGGGGCUAGGUCUUGCCAACUCCAUCUUCAAUAAAGUCGUUUUCGGA